rnacentral:lncRNA from 1 species
AGAGAGAAGAACAAUCCGUUAAUAGUUAUAACCGAAUGGAUACCACCAGGUACAAGAACCAGAGGCAGACCUAAACUCAGAUGGAGACAACAAGUGGAAGAAUACUUAAUAAGUAGGGAAA